rnacentral:tRNA from 1 species
GAGGGUAUAGCUCAGUGGUAGAGCGCAUGCUUAGCAUGCACAAGGUCCUGGGUUCAAUCCCCAGUACCCUCA